rnacentral:rRNA from 1 species
CGGGAGUUAAAAGAAGUGAAAAUGCUGACAUGAGAAACGACAAGGCGGGUAAAAACCCCGCACGCCGGAAGACCAAGGGUUCCUGCGCAACGCUAAUCGGCGCAGGGUGAGUCGGCCCCUAAGGCGAGACCGAAAGGUGUAGUCGAUGGGAAACGGGUUAAUAUUCCCGUACCUUGGAUAGCUGCGAUGGAGAGACGGAGAAGGCUAGGUGAGCCGGGCGACGGUUGUCCCGGUUUAAGCGAGUAGGGAGUGGACUUAGGCAAAUCCGGGUCCACAAUCCCGAGACGUGACGACGACUGCUCAUAGAGCGGGAAGUCAUUGAUGCCAUGCUUCCAGGAAAAUCUUCUAAGCUUCAGGCUAUUCGAGACCGUACCCCAAACCGACACAGGUGGUCAGGUAGAGAAUACCAAGGCGCUUGAGAGAACUCGGGUAAAGGAACUAGGCAAAAUGGUGCCGUAACUUCGGGAGAAGGCACGCUGGCAGUAAGUGAAGCCCCUGCGGGUGGAGCUGAGACCAGUCGAAGAUACCAGGCCCCUGCGACUGUUUAUUAAAAACACAGCACUGUGCAAACACGAAAGUGGACGUAUACGGUGUGACGCCUGCCCGGUGCCGGAAGGUUAAUUGAUGGGGUUAGCGCUUGCGCGAAGCUCUUGAUCGAAGCCCCGGUAAACGGCGGCCGUAACAAUAACGGUCCUAAGGUAGCGAAAUUCCUUGUCGGGUAAGUUCCGACCUGCACGAAUGGCGUAACGACUUCCCCGCUGUCUCCAAUGCAGACUCAGCGAAAUUGAAUUGCCUGUUAAGAUGCAGGCUUCCCGCGGUUAGACGGAAAGACCCCGUGCACCUUUACUACAGCUUCACACUGGCAAUAGGUCAGACGUGUGCAGGAUAGGUGGUAGGCUUUGAAGCAGAGACGCCAGUCUUUGUGGAGCCUCCCUUGAGAUACCACCCCUGUUUGUCUUAUUGUCUAACCGCGGUCCGUUAUCCGGAUCCGGGACCCUGUGUGGCGGGUAGUUUGACUGGGGCGGUCGCCUCCUAAAGAGUAACGGAGGCGCGCGAUGGUGGGCUCAGACCGGUCGGAAAUCGGUCGUCGAGUGCAAUGGCAUAAGCCCGCCUGACUGCGAGUCUGACAAGACGAGCAGAGACGAAAGUCGGUCAUAGUGAUCCGGUGGUCCCGAGUGGAAGGGCCAUCGCUCAACGGAUAAAAGGUACGCCGGGGAUAACAGGCUGAUACUGCCCAAGAGUCCAUAUCGACGGCAGUGUUUGGCACCUCGAUGUCGGCUCAUCUCAUCCUGGGGCUGGAGCAGGUCCCAAGGGUACGGCUGUUCGCCGUUUAAAGAGGUACGUGAGCUGGGUUUAGAACGUCGUGAGACAGUUCGGUCCCUAUCUGCCGUGGGUGUAGGAGACUUGAUGGGAGUUGCCCCUAGUACGAGAGGACCGGGGUGAACGAUCCACUGGUGGAUCUGUUGUGGCGCCAGCCGCAGUGCAGAGUAGCUAUGAUCGGACAGGAUAACCGCUGAAGGCAUCUAAGCGGGAAGCCCCCCCAGAAACAAGGUCUCCCUUGAGGGCCGUGGAAGACCACCACGUCGAUAGGUUGGAGAUGUAAGUGCAGCAAUGCAU